AUGAACGCUAGCUACAGGCUUAACACAUGCAAGUCGAGGGGCAGCAUGGUCUUAGCUUGCUAAGACUGAUGGCGACCGGCGCACGGGUGAGUAACACGUAUCCAACCUGCCGUCUACUCUUGGACAGCCUUCUGAAAGGAAGAUUAAUACAAGAUGGCAUCAUGAGUCCGCAUGUUCACAUGAUUAAAGGUAUUCCGGUAGACGAUGGGGAUGCGUUCCAUUAGAUAGUAGGCGGGGUAACGGCCCACCUAGUCUUCGAUGGAUAGGGGUUCUGAGAGGAAGGUCCCCCACAUUGGAACUGAGACACGGUCCAAACUCCUACGGGAGGCAGCAGUGAGGAAUAUUGGUCAAUGGGCGAGAGCCUGAACCAGCCAAGUAGCGUGAAGGAUGACUGCCCUAUGGGUUGUAAACUUCUUUUAUAAAGGAAUAAAGUCGGGUAUGUAUACCCGUUUGCAUGUACUUUAUGAAUAAGGAUCGGCUAACUCCGUG
rnacentral:rRNA from 1 species